CCUUCGAUAGCUCAGUUGGUAGAGGCGGUGGACUGUAGAUCCAUAGGUCGCUGGUUCAAAUCCGGCUCGAAGGA